rnacentral:rRNA from 1 species
CCUACGGGUGGCAGCAGUCGAGAAUCAUUCACAAUGGGGGAAACCCUGAUGGUGUGACGCCGCGUGGGGGAAUGAAGGUCUUCGGAUUGUAAACCCCUGUCAUGUGGGAGCAAAUUAAAAAGAUAGUACCACACGAGGAAGAGACGGCUAACUCUGUGCCAGCAGCCGCGGUAAUACAGAGGUCUCAAGCGUUGUUCGGAAUCACUGGGCGUAAAGCGUGCGUAGGCUGUUUCGAAAGUCGUGUGUGAAAGGCGCGGGCUCAACCCGCGGACGGCACAUGAUACUGCGAGACUAGAGUAAUGGAGGGGGAACCGGAAUUCUCGGUGUAGCAGUGAAAUGCGUAGAGAUCGAGAGGAACACUCGUGGCGAAGGCGGGUUCCUGGACAUUAACUGACGCUGAGGCACGAAGGCCAGGGGAGCGAAAGGGAUUAGAUAACCGGGUAGUC